UAGGUGUGUUUUCAGUUUCAAGUGCUC
rnacentral:piRNA from 1 species